CGAGUCGGCCGGGCGACCGCGGUGACGGGAACGGGCACGAUGGUGCCGCUGCCCGCCGCCGAGGAAAGUCCGGACUCCACAGAGCAGGGCGGUUGUUAACGGCAACCCGGGGCGACCCGCGGGACAGUGCCACAGAAAACAAACCGCCGCGCACACGUGCGCGGUAAGGGUGAAACGGUGCGGUAAGAGCGCACCAGCGCCCCGGGUGACCGGGGCGGCUCGGUAAACCCCGCCCGGAGCAAGGUCGAAGGUCGCACCUCGCGGUGCGGCUGCGCAGGUGUUCGAGGGCUGCUCGCCCGAGCCUGCGGGUGGACCGCUCGAGGCACCCGGCGACGGUGUGUCCAGAUGGAUGGUCGCCCCCCGGCGCGAGCCGGGGACAGGAUCCGGCUUACAGGCCGGCUCGCCCG
rnacentral:RNase_P_RNA from 2 species